rnacentral:sRNA from 1 species
UCGGUUUGGAACACAGACCUUAUGAAAGCAGUUUUAGUAAAGCAGUUCUCAGUUCAAGAGUUUAUCCAUAGAUGCCCUUCUUCAUGAGCCUUCUCCUAAGUGCCCAAUAAGUAAUUAUCUGAAUACAGGCCAUGUUUGCCACCUUAAGUGGCUAAAAAUUAAAGGAAGUAUCUAUGUCUAAUAAAAUGACUGGUUUAGUAAAAUGGUUUGACGCUGGUAAAGGUUUUGGUUUUAUUUCGCCAGAAGAUGGCAGUAAAGAUGUAUUCGUACAUUUUUCAGCUAUCCAAAGUAAUGACUUCAAAACUCUGGAUGAAGGGCAAAAAGUGGAAUUCUCUAUCGAGAAUGGCGCAAAAGGCCCUUCUGCCGGCAAUGUCUGUGCGAUUUAAUGCCAGAUAAUUCGCAAAG